UAAAACCAAUUUAAAAAUAAAACCUUAAAUCAAUAAAUUGAGACAAUUAUUAAAUUAUCUAAGAUGGCAAUGAGUAUUUUAUCAGUCUUAAAGUAAUUCUAUUAUAGCUAAAAAUUAAUUACCAUUAAUUUUGCAUCAAUGCAACUCAGUCCUUAAUAUCAGUCUUAAUUGUUUUUGUAAAAAUAUUAAGGUACUCAAAUCAUGAGGUAGCGAGAUAAAUUAUUCUUAAUUGUUUUGUAAAAAUAUUAAGGUACAUCAUGAGGUAGCGAAAUAAAUUAUCAGUCUUAAAUUAAAACUAUACAACUUUAAAAGACCCAUCAUUACGACGGUAAAAUCCUGGAGCAGGGUGAUUGUGAAUUUUACGAACUCUCUUGAUAAUUUGUCCUUCUCGAUGGACUUCGGUGGUAACAUCUACAUGACAGCCAGUCUUGGUGCGUGAAGUGCAGUACCAUUGUUUUUUUCCGUAUGCCAAUUUGUUCUUCAACCGAAAUGCAAAGCCAUUGUGGACUAACAGUAAGCUGCCCUUCCGGGUUGGUAUGAAGUUUGCCACUGUAACAAAUAGGUAUAUAUUUUUCAGUAAACAUAUAAACAAAGAAAAACAACUAUAAAUCUAACUUAGAUAAACUAAUUUAUCUAUGAAUGAAAACGGGAAAAUAAAACGAAGAACCCAUCAAAUUUUUAUGUUUAUUCUUAGAUGCCUUUAGCAUGAAAAAGAGACAGCCAAUUGAAGUGUGAUUAAUGAAAUCUACUAUCUAGGUACGUUUAUCUCAAAAUUUUCUUUAAUGUUUAUAAUCACAGUCAGCCACAUAAACUUAUUAAACAGGAUUGGCGCACAAUCUUCAAAACUAUAGGCUCAUGUGGUAAACAAAUCGAAUUUACGUGUUCCACGUGUUUACUAUUUGGUUUAUAACUUCACAGCACUCAUCACAUCACUAAAAACGACUCCUCUAACGUUUUUGUUUAGUAAUAUUAUUGUUUGAUUGAUCAAUUAAUUAAUGAAACAUCUAUUGUGUGUUACACUAAUCCAGUCAAAUAAAUGAAGUAAACAGAAAAAAGAAUGAACGAAAGGAAUGAUGUACGAUGACGCUGACUGACGGACGCCGCCUCGGUUCGUCGUCCACAGAUUACACAGACCUAUCCAAAAAGACGCGCGCCCGCGCUGCCAUCUCCGUUUCAUUACGCACAAUCACAAUAGAAGCUAGUUUAUACAAAUUAAAUUAUUGCAAAUAAAAAUUUGCGUUUAUUUUAAUGUUCUUUUUUAGUUUGAGUUUUGAAAAUAAUUUAUGAUGAAGGAACAUAAUUUAGUAACAUAAAAUUAAUAACACAAUUUUAUUCAUUUAGUUGAAAAGAAACGUAGUAACUAAAAGAAAGAUUGAGAUUUAAUGAAAACAAUACACCAAAAUAAAUUAGACCCUUAAAAUGAAAACACUUUAUGUAGGAAAAAUAGUCGGCGCUAAUUGGACAACGCGGCCGCGCUAAUCCUAAACAUCCAAUUUAAAAAAAUAUAUAAGUCAGUGUCAAAGUGACUUGUCAAGUUGUCAUUCAGUUGUGUUACUACUUGUCGCAUGUUUGUACGAAGAGAAAAAAUGGAAGAUUGUUCGAUGGACAUGUAAUUAAUUUAAUGUUGAAGUGUAUUUGACUUUAGUGGAUGCAGUGUACGUUGUGCGUGUUAGAAGUGACGUGUAAAUAAACAUUCAUUCCGUGAUCCUUGGAUAAAGUGCUGUUUUCAUUGCUUGAAAUACACGUCAAAAAGUGAACUAAGUUUCUGGAUCAAAAUUGCAAAACUUUUAAAGCUCAUAAGUUACAUAAUGAUAGCGUCCAAUUACAGGUCCUUACUCGUAGAACUGGACCAGAAAACUUAGAAUAGUAGUUUUAACUUUGUUUAUAAAUAUUUCAUGAACUUUAGACAACAAAGCUACAAUCACUAGUUUGGAUCAACUUAACAAUGUUUUACUAUUCAUUUAUUCAUUAGUUUAGGUAUAUUCAUAAACACAAGAGGCAAUUCCAAGUUAUUUAUUUACCAGAAUCACACAUUUAGAUUUAUGUACAAAAAGGCAUAUGGCAGUCAGCUGUGGUACUGCUGGUAUUUCUUCAGCCGGUGCUGUCCAGCGAAGCUCCGAAUCAACAAUGCAGGAAAAGUUACCGAGAGCAUAGGACGCCACAAUCACGAUCCACCAACCUGCUGGAUGACACCGGACGGUAAAUCGUACAGUCUUCCACCGUUACCCGAUAAGAAUUCACAGUAGUUUAUAAAAUUUUGUAACUAAUUAAAGUAUUUUCAAUGCCUUUUGUGUUUCACUGCCUUUUUUAUUUGUUGUGAAUAAACUGCCUACUUUUAUUUAUAUUGAGAUUGUAUUGACAACCCAUAUUUUUUCUUUUAAGUUUUAGUAUUCAUGUUAGAUGAUAGCUUGAGUUAUAAUGCAACUUAAAAUAUUUCAAUGUGCACUUUACUUGUAUUCCACACUUAAAUGUUCUCAAACUGUAUUACAAUUAAAUGUAAUUUAACAGCAAUAAUGUAAACGAUGAUGAAAACAAAAACAUCUGACUAUUCACUAAUAUUUUAUGCAUAUAUCUUUUACAUAAAAAUAUGUCUGGUGUUUUGGUAUUUAAGGUGAUUAUGCUAAAAUAUUAGUGAUUAGAUAAUUUUAAGGUACCUAUUUAAGUAGAGAUUCUUAUUUUUUAGAUUUUAUUUAAUUGUAUUGUAGCCGAUGUCCAAGUGACUCAUUUGGAAUAAAGCUUUAAUUCCUUGUAACCCCUCAGGUACAACCAAAUAUUUAUACUGCAUUUGUGAGUUUCAACUUGAAAAGUAAGAGACUAUUUUCCUUUGUACAUAUUUUAAUCGAAAAUUGAAUAAUGUUACUACUACAUAUUGUAGGUUAAUUUAAAGUAUAUUUUAUAGUUUAUAACAGUUAUAUUGUAGUUAAAAUUAUAUAAAUUUUAAUAUUGUAGUUAUUGAUAUAGCUAGUAUAUUAUUUUCCAAAUUGUUGGAAUAAAAACAAUCAGUACAG